rnacentral:rRNA from 1 species
UACGAAGGGGACUAGCGUUGUUCGGAAUUACUGGGCGUAAAGCGCACGUAGGCGGAUUUGUUAGUCAGGGGUGAAAUCCCGGGGCUCAACCUCGGAACUGCCUUUGAUACUGCAAGUCUCGAGUCCGAUAGAGGUGGGUGGAAUUCCUAGUGUAGAGGUGAAAUUCGUAGAUAUUCGGAAGAACACCAGUGGCGAAGGCGGCUCACUGGACUGGUAUUGACGCUGAGGUGCGAAAGCGUGGGGAGCAAACAGG